rnacentral:rRNA from 1 species
UACGAAGGGGGCGAGCGUUGUUCGGAAUUACUGGGCGUAAAGGGCGCGCAGGCGGCUCAUCAAGUCAGAUGUGAAAGCCCGAGGCUCAACCUCGGAACUGCCUUCGAUACUGCGGGUCUCGAGUCCGGGAGAGGAGAGUGGAAUUCCUGGUGUAGCGGUGAAAUGCGCAGAUAUCAGGAAGAACACCCGUGGCGAAGGCGGCUCUCUGGAACGCAACUGACGCUGAGACGCGAAAGCGUGGGGAGCAAACAGG